CCGGAUAAAUGCAAGAACCAGAAACUUCACUAAGGUGAUGAAAUCCUACUAGAAGAAUUCCCAUGAAUUGAGCCAUCUUGUGGGUUAGACAAAACGUCUAACCAUCACCUAUGCAUCAGGCAAAGCAGAUUUCUUAUUAGUUUAGCUGACUAGUCAUUGUUCAGUCACCCAGUUGUGUCUGACUCUGCGACCCCAUGGGCUGCAGCACACCAGGCUUCCCUGUCCAACAACAACUCCCAGAAUUUGCUCAAACUCAUGUCCACUGAGUUGGUGAUGCCAUCCAACCAUCUUGUCCUCUGCCAUCCACUUCUCCUCCUGCCUUCAAUCUUUCCCAGCAU
rnacentral:misc_RNA from 1 species